GUUGAUUACAUAAAAACCGUGAAAAGCUGCUAAAAUAUGAGAAUCUUUGAAUAACUCUUUGACCAAAGAGAGCUACAGAAUACAUGCUAGUCUCUUGAAUAUAUGAUAACAAGAAUCGAUAGUGAGCAAGCCAUCACUUUCUAGAUUGAAAGAAAUAUAGGGCUAUUAAGGAGGGAGUCAUUAACGGAACGAGCGAGGGAGAAUAGACCGGCGGUUACCGGCGCCGGAAGCAUCGGCCGGCGGAAGAAGUGAAGUAGCAGUGGUGAUUGCUUGGGGGCUCCAAA
rnacentral:misc_RNA from 1 species